rnacentral:rRNA from 1 species
GACGAACGCUGGCGGCGUGCUUAACACAUGCAAGUCGAACGGAAAGGCCCUGCUUUGGUGGGGUGCUCGAGUGGCGAACGGGUGAGUAACACGUGAGUAACCUGCCCUUGACGUUGGGAUAACUUCAGGAAACUGGGGCUAAUACCGGAUAGAAGCUCCUGCUGCAUGGUGGGGGUUGGAAAGUUUCGGCGGUUGGGGAUGGACUCGCGGCUUAUAAGCUUGUUGGUGGGGUGGUGGCUUACCAAGGCUUUGACGGGUAGCCGGCCUGAGAGGGUGACCGGCCCCAUUGGGACUGAGAUACGGCCCAGACUCCUACGGGAGGCAGCAGUGGGGAAUAUUGCACAAUGGGCGGAAGCCUGAUGCAGCAACGCCGCGUGCGGGAUGACGGCCUUCGGGUUGUAAACCGCUUUCGCCUGUGACGAAGCGUGAGUGACGGUAAUGGGUAAAGAAGCACCGGCUAACUACGUG